GUAGGAGGGGGGAAUGAGAUGCUGGCUGUGACUCAGAUUGAGAUGCUGGCUGUGACUCAGAUUGAGAUGCUCGCUGUGACUCAGAUUGAGAUGCUGGCUGUGACUCAGAUUGAGAUGCUGGCUGUGACUCAGAUUGAGAUGCUCGCUGUGACUCAGAUUGAGAUGCUCGCUGUGACUCAGAUUGAGAUGCUGGCUGUGACUCAGAUUGAGAUGCUGGCUGUGACUCAGAUUGAGAUGCUGGCUGUGAUUCAGAUUGAGAUGCUGGCUGUGACUCAGAUGGAGAUGCUGGCUGUAACUCACCAGUAAAAUGUAGCUCUGACUCCUCCACUUUCUUUUGUGGCUGAAUCUCAGCUUUCCCCUCCUCCACACCAAUCAACUCUGAUACAGGAACUGAAACUAAACAGUCAAAAGCACUUCUCAGUCUACUUCAGCACUGGCACCAACAUUGCAUAAUAGGCACAAAUGCGGGAAUAACCAUGACACUGCCUUUAUCAGCCUUUAAAGAAUGCUAUCGAUAACUGGUUAAAGCUCAUGACAACCUGGCUCUAUAUAUAGUCCUGUACUGAAAUAUAGUGCAUGUAUGUUCGGAUGGAGGAGCAUUGGGUUGGGCGCAUGUGUUUGUGUGUGCUGUAACACGCUGGGUGUGCCUUUCAUGUCUUUUUUAAAAUGUUUGUCAGUCAUGUCUGGGCUGUAUGACAUGUCGGUGAAGUACAACAGGUUCUAUCGCAGGUUCCCCUCCUGCAAUGGUAUGACAGAAAUGUCGCUGGCUAUGUGGAGCAUCUAAGGCCCCAACCCCCAUGAAAAAGGACUGACUCCACCCACAGAGGGUCCAUUUCCGAACCGUCCCACAAAGAGUCAAAAGGUCUUCGGAUUUGACGUUCGCUUGCUCCCUCUCCCAAUCUUUGAGGGAUAUAGUCUUACAAGCAUUAUGUUCUGUAACCUAUACUACUAUAAUCAUAAAACAAUUUCGCAACAUUUUCAGGAAACAAAAACAAUUUAAGUCUACGUACUACACGGCUCAAAAAUUGUCGCGUUUCACUUGAUACAACGCAAAUAACUCAUAAAACAACGCUGUAAAAUAAAACAUCAAUUGUCAACUUGAUUAGCUGAGUUUCUCUACUGUAUGCUAUUCUAUUGAUAAGAUUGUAUGAAGAUAAUAAACGCAGACCGAAAAGCCAUGGACCUGA